UUGCGGUUAAAACGCUCGUAGUUGGAUAUCUGCCAGCACAGGGUGCUCCGCCCAAGGGGUGUGUAGCCAUCUGUGUGCUGGCAUCAUCCUGGGGAGUGUAUCUGCACUUGAUUGUGCGGGGCAUGAGCCAGGGCAUUUACUUUGAGGAAAUGAGAGUGCUUCAAGCAGGCGUGCGCCGUGAAUACGUUAGCAUGGAAUAAUAGUAUCGGACCGCGUCCCAAAGCUGUUAGUUUCUUGGGGCGUGGUAAAGAUGAAUAGGGAUUGUUGGGGGCAUUCGUAUUUAACUGUCAGAGGUGAAAUUCUUGGAUUUGUUGAAGACGCACUACCGCGAAAGCAUCUGCCAAAGAUGUUCUCAUUGAUCAAGAACGAAAGUUAGGUGAUCGAAGACGAUCAGAUACCGUCCUAGUCUUAACCAUAAACUAUGCCGACUGGAGAUGGGGGGUCGUUACGUUCAUGACGCCUUCUGCAUCUUGGGAGAAAUCAAAGUCUUUGGGUUCCGGGGGGAGUAUGGUC
rnacentral:rRNA from 1 species